UUCUCCCAGAAGAGAAGGGAGAGCACAUGCCCAGGCUCCAUGGACUUCCGGUUCUCCCCUCCCUUCGCACCCCCACAAUGAGGUCACGACGGGAUGCCACCACCAGCUGGUCCCUUCCAGAGCUCUGUCUGAACUCCACCAGCCUUGCUUCUGGCCUCAUCCUGCAGACCCAGGGGACACCUCCACUUGCAAGUUCAGUCCAUGGGCACUGCACACUCUCUCGGCCCCAAGUUGAACCCCUUUUCCUCACCCAACAUCCUCCAUUUCAACAAAUGGCAGCGUUGUGGGUAAAAUAACACCUCCUUCAGAGACAUUGACAUCCUCAUCCCUGACUUCGGCUGCAGCUCAGUGGUGCAAUCUCAGCUCAUUGCAACUUCCACCUCCCAGGAUGAAGCAAUCCUCCCACCUCAGCCUCUCCAGUAGCUGAGACUUCAAGCUCCCUCCAGCAGCCGAGCUGAUUUUUGUAUUUUUUUAUAGAGAUGGGGUUUCACCAUGUUGCCCAGGCUGGUGUCAAAUCCCUGGGCUCAAGUAAUCUGCCCACCUCGACCUCCCAAAGUGCUGGGAUUGCCUGCGUGAGCCCCAUCCCCGGCCUGCUCAUUUCCUUCUAGUGCUGAAGAAUAUUCCGAUGUCUGGAUAGACCACAGUUUGUCUGUCCACUCACCUCUAGGCAGACAUCUUGGUUGCUUCCAGUUUUUAGUGACGGUGAAUAAAACUGCUCUAAACAUUCGUGUGCAGGUGUUGGUGUGAACAUAAGUUUUCAACUCAUUUAUCGAGUGGCUGCACCGUUUUGCAGUUCCGCCAGCAACGCAUGAGACUUCCUGUUGCCGCACGCCCACCCCGGCAUUUGGCGUUGUCAGUGUUUUGGAUUUUGGCCAUUCUUACAGUUCUAGGGUACAGGUGCACAACGUGCAGGUUUGUUACAUAUGUAUACAUGUGCCACAUUGGUGUGCUGCGGAGCAGAGUUCUUAAGGACAACUUGGCGGUACGGGGAAGCCAGUGAGGCAGGAGUGCUGAUUGGCCAGGGAUGAAAUCACAGAGGGUUGGAGCUGUCUUCUUGCGGUGAGUCAGUUCCUGGAUGGGGGCCACAAGAUCAGAUGAGCCAGUUUAUUGAUCUGGGUGGUGCCAGCUGAUCCGUCA
rnacentral:lncRNA from 1 species